rnacentral:misc_RNA from 1 species
AAAUAUGGAUGGACGACUUUUCAUCAUUGGUUUCCAAGGAGGCACAGUUACAGAAGUGAAUCUCUCGUGCUUACUUGCGAGGCGCCUUACCAUACAAGCUGCAGGACUCCGGAACAGAAGCCCAGAAAACAAGACAGUGAUUGUGGAAGAGGUGGAGAAGAACGUCUGGCCGGCAAUCGCUGCAGGCGAUGUGAAGCCUGUCGUGUUCAAGACCUUUCCCUUGUCUGAAGCUGCAGAGGCUCACAAGUUGAUGGAAAGCGGUCAUAUUGGUAAGAUUUUGUUGUUGCCAUGAUCAUUAAAGACUCUAGCAACCCCCAGAACUCAAACCAGAGGGUAAAAGUUUCAUAAGGUUUGUUAUUCUUG